CUCCUACGGGAGGCAGCAGUGGGAAUCUUGCACAAUGGGGAAACCUGGAUGCAGCGACGCCGCGUGAGCGAUGAAGCCUUCGGGGUGUAAAGCUACUUUCGGCUAGGGAAGAUAGUGACGGUACCUGCAGAAGCAGCUGCGGCUAACUACGUGCCAGCCGCCGCGGUAAUAC
rnacentral:rRNA from 1 species